rnacentral:lncRNA from 1 species
AGCCCUCGGGAGGCUCGGUCACAAUCUCCGAGAGCACAGCCAUCAUCUCUCACGGUACCACAGGCCUGGUCACAUGGGACGCCACCCUCUGCCUUGCAGAAUGGGCCAUCGAGAACCCAGCAGCCUUCACUAACAGACGUGCUGUAUUGCCCAGAAGCCAUCGUGUCGCUGGUCGGGGUCCUGCGGAGGCUGGCUGCCUGCCAGGAGCACAAGCGGGCUCCUGAGGUCUACGUGGCCUUUACCGUCCGCAACCCAGAGACGUGCCAGCUGUUCACCACCGAGCUAGGCUGGGCCGGGAUCAGAUGGGAAGCAGAAGCUCAUCAUGACCAGAAACUGUUUCCCUACGGAGAGCACUUGGAGAUGGCAAUGCUGAACCUCACACUGUAGGACUCACACACGACUCUAACGGGAUUGUAAGAAUCAAGUCACUCUCAUGGGAAGAAUUUUUAUAUGGGAAAGCGGCUAAAACUUUCAUUGGACUGGAAUGUUUGGAGAUUGUUAAAUUCCAAAUCAGGAACCACAAACUGCCCUCUAAUAAGAUAUCAGCUGUCUAAGCGUGUGGGUGCCGCCUUUCUGCCAGUAGUUCUGGUUCUUAAGAAAAGCACCAUAAAUCAGACAUGAAAAUUCUGGCUCCAAAAAUAGCAUUUUCUUUGUGCAAAUAAAAAC